rnacentral:lncRNA from 1 species
CUUCUUCUUCUUCCUCUUUUUUUUUUUGCUCUUUUUUUUGGGUUCUUUGUUGGGUUUUUUUUCGUUUCAGUUUUUUUUGUGGCUAGGCUCUUCUGCUGGUAGAUCUAGCAUUUUUUGUUUUUGUUUUUGUUCUUCUUUUUUGUGUUUGUCCUCCUUUUUUGCAGGUGCCCUUUUAAAGAGCCGGGUUGUCCAAAAAUUUGGACAACCCGGCGAGGGGGUUCUGGCACCAGGGAGUUGGUGGCCAGAACCCCUGGUGCGUGGUGGUUGGGAACUUGAUGGGAAGGGAUGGUGAAGGAAUGGUGAGGGGAUGGGGAAGGGAUGGCUGGGCGUAUGCCCAGCCAUCCCCUUUUUU